GGGUUGUGAGGUUAAGCGACUAAGCGUACACGGUGGAUGCCCUGGCAGUCAGAGGCGAUGAAGGACGUGCUAAUCUGCGAUAAGCGUCGGUAAGGUGAUAUGAACCGUUAUAACCGGCGAUUUCCGAAUGGGGAAACCCAGUGUGUUUCGACACACUAUCAUUAACUGAAUCCAUAGGUUAAUGAGGCGAACCGGGGGAACUGAAACAUCUAAGUACCCCGAGGAAAAGAAAUCAACCGAGAUUCCCCCAGUAGCGGCGAGCGAACGGGGAGCAGCCCAGAGCCUGAAUCAGUGUGUGUGUUAGUGGAAGCGUCUGGAAAGGCGCGCGAUACAGGGUGACAGCCCCGUACACAAAAAUGCACAUGCUGUGAGCUCGAUGAGUAGGGCGGGACACGUGGUAUCCUGUCUGAAUAUGGGGGGACCAUCCUCCAAGGCUAAAUACUCCUGACUGACCGAUAGUGAACCAGUACCGUGAGGGAAAGGCGAAAAGAACCCCGGCGAGGGGAGUGAAAAAGAACCUGAAACCGUGUACGUACAAGCAGUGGGAGCACGCUUAGGCGUGUGACUGCGUACCUUUUGUAUAAUGGGUCAGCGACUUAUAUUCUGUAGCAAGGUUAACCGAAUAGGGGAGCCGAAGGGAAACCGAGUCUUAACUGGGCGUUAAGUUGCAGGGUAUAGACCCGAAACCCGGUGAUCUAGCCAUGGGCAGGUUGAAGGUUGGGUAACACUAACUGGAGGACCGAACCGACUAAUGUUGAAAAAUUAGCGGAUGACUUGUGGCUGGGGGUGAAAGGCCAAUCAAACCGGGAGAUAGCUGGUUCUCCCCGAAAGCUAUUUAGGUAGCGCCUCGUGAAUUCAUCUCCGGGGGUAGAGCACUGUUUCGGCAAGGGGGUCAUCCCGACUUACCAACCCGAUGCAAACUGCGAAUACCGGAGAAUGUUAUCACGGGAGACACACGGCGGGUGCUAACGUCCGUCGUGAAGAGGGAAACAACCCAGACCGCCAGCUAAGGUCCCAAAGUCAUGGUUAAGUGGGAAACGAUGUGGGAAGGCCCAGACAGCCAGGAUGUUGGCUUAGAAGCAGCCAUCAUUUAAAGAAAGCGUAAUAGCUCACUGGUCGAGUCGGCCUGCGCGGAAGAUGUAACGGGGCUAAACCAUGCACCGAAGCUGCGGCAGCGACGCUUAUGCGUUGUUGGGUAGGGGAGCGUUCUGUAAGCCUGUGAAGGUGUACUGUGAGGUAUGCUGGAGGUAUCAGAAGUGCGAAUGCUGACAUAAGUAACGAUAAAGCGGGUGAAAAGCCCGCUCGCCGGAAGACCAAGGGUUCCUGUCCAACGUUAAUCGGGGCAGGGUGAGUCGACCCCUAAGGCGAGGCCGAAAGGCGUAGUCGAUGGGAAACAGGUUAAUAUUCCUGUACUUGGUGUUACUGCGAAGGGGGGACGGAGAAGGCUAUGUUGGCCGGGCGACGGUUGUCCCGGUUUAAGCGUGUAGGCUGGUUUUCCAGGCAAAUCCGGAAAAUCAAGGCUGAGGCGUGAUGACGAGGCACUACGGUGCUGAAGCAACAAAUGCCCUGCUUCCGGGAAAAGCCUCUAAGCAUCAGGUAACAUCAAAUCGUACCCCAAACCGACACAGGUGGUCAGGUAGAGAAUACCAAGGCGCUUGAGAGAACUCGGGUGAAGGAACUAGGCAAAAUGGUGCCGUAACUUCGGGAGAAGGCACGCUGAUAUGUAGGUGAAGUCCCUCGCGGAUGGAGCUGAAAUCAGUCGAAGAUACCAGCUGGCUGCAACUGUUUAUUAAAAACACAGCACUGUGCAAACACGAAAGUGGACGUAUACGGUGUGACGCCUGCCCGGUGCCGGAAGGUUAAUUGAUGGGGUCAGCGCAAGCGAAGCUCUUGAUCGAAGCCCCGGUAAACGGCGGCCGUAACUAUAACGGUCCUAAGGUAGCGAAAUUCCUUGUCGGGUAAGUUCCGACCUGCACGAAUGGCGUAAUGAUGGCGGGCUGUCUCCACCCGAGACUCAGUGAAAUUGAACUCGCUGUGAAGAUGCAGUGUACCCGCGGCAAGACGGAAAGACCCCGUGAACCUUUACUAUAGCUUGACACUGAACAUUGAGCCUUGAUGUGUAGGAUAGGUGGGAGGCUUUGAAGUGUGGACGCCAGUCUGCAUGGAGCCGACCUUGAAAUACCACCCUUUAAUGUUUGAUGUUCUAACGUUGACCCGUGAUCCGGGUUGCGGACAGUGUCUGGUGGGUAGUUUGACUGGGGCGGUCUCCUCCUAAAGAGUAACGGAGGAGCACGAAGGUUGGCUAAUCCUGGUCGGACAUCAGGAGGUUAGUGCAAUGGCAUAAGCCAGCUUGACUGCGAGCGUGACGGCGCGAGCAGGUGCGAAAGCAGGUCAUAGUGAUCCGGUGGUUCUGAAUGGAAGGGCCAUCGCUCAACGGAUAAAAGGUACUCCGGGGAUAACAGGCUGAUACCGCCCAAGAGUUCAUAUCGACGGCGGUGUUUGGCACCUCGAUGUCGGCUCAUCACAUCCUGGGGCUGAAGUAGGUCCCAAGGGUAUGGCUGUUCGCCAUUUAAAGUGGUACGCGAGCUGGGUUUAGAACGUCGUGAGACAGUUCGGUCCCUAUCUGCCGUGGGCGCUGGAGAACUGAGGGGGGCUGCUCCUAGUACGAGAGGACCGGAGUGGACGCAUCACUGGUGUUCGGGUUGUCAUGCCAAUGGCACUGCCCGGUAGCUAAAUGCGGAAGAGAUAAGUGCUGAAAGCAUCUAAGCACGAAACUUGCCCCGAGAUGAGUUCUCCCUGACUCCUUGAGAGUCCUGAAGGAACGUUGAAGACGACGACGUUGAUAGGCCGGGUGUGUAAGCGCAGCGAUGCGUUGAGCUAACCGGUACUAAUGAACCGUGAGGCUUAACCUUACAACGCCGAAGCUGUU
rnacentral:rRNA from 1 species